AGUAAAGAAGAGAGAGAAAGAAGAAGAAAGGAAAAGAGGAAGAAGAAGAAGAAGAAAGAAGAAGGAAAAUCAACUGCAGAACUUCACCAGAGCUGGGUCUUGGUAUUUUGAGCCCAGAUUUAUGAUCAGCUCACCGAGGUCUUCGAUUUGAGGAUUUGGAAGGAGUGUUGAUGAAGAUCUAGAGUAUUUUGAGGUUCUUGAGCAAAAGAAGUGAAAUUUGGGGUUUCAUUAGUGUUCUUGCGAAAGAGGUGAUUUUACAGGUUACCCGCCUGGUGAUUAAGAGCUGGACCCACCGUGAAGUUUUCUUCUGAGGACUAGUGGGUCCCUGUCGAGUUCAAGCACAGUACCGAUUGCACGUGCAAUGAUUGUGUUGCGUGGCAGUUGUGACUCCUGAGUGAUUCUUUUGAUUCUUUUUUAUGUGCUUCCUUUUUGUUACUUAAUGUUUAAAUUGUUAUAUUUUUGUAUAUAUAUAUAUAUAUAUCAUGCCUCCAGGCCCAAAUGUAUGUAAACUUUAUAACUCAAAUUGGAUAUCAAGUAUUUGGGAAACAAUUUCAGGUAUUAUUAUGAAUAGGUCAUCCGCUGAAAUACAAAUCUGAUCUUAGAUUAGUAGAUGUA